GACCGGUUCUCCGUAGGUGACCUGCGGAGGGAUCAUUACACAAUAUGAAAGCGGGCUGGCAUCCUUCGGGGUUACAGCCUUGCUGAAUUAUUCACCCGUGUCUUUUGCGUACUUCUUGUUUCCUUGGUGGGUUCGCCCACCAUAGGACAAACCAUAAACCUUUUGUAAUUGCAAUCAGCGUCAGUAAAAAAAUUAAUAAUUACAACUUUUAACAACGGAUCUCUUGGUUCUGGCAUCGAUGAAGAACGCAGCGAAAUGCGAUAAGUAGUGUGAAUUGCAGAAUUCAGUGAAUCAUCGAAUCUUUGAACGCACAUUGCGCCCUUUGGUAUUCCAAAGGGCAUGCCUGUUCGAGCGUCAUUUGUACCCUCAAGCUUUGCUUGGUGUUGGGCGUCUUGUCUCCAGUUCGCUGGAGACUCGCCUUAAAGUAAUUGGCAGCCGGCCUACUGGUUUCGGAGCGCAGCACAAGUCGCGCUCUCUUCCAGCCAAGGUCAGCAUCCACAAAGCCUUUUUUCAACUUUUGACCUCGGAUCAGGUAGGGAUACCCGCUGAACUUAAGCAUAUCAAAAGGCCGGAGGAAA
rnacentral:rRNA from 1 species